CAACGCGAAAGACCUUACCAAAUCUUGACAUCCUUUGACCGCUCUAGAGAUAGAGUCUUCCCCUUCGGGGGACAAAGUGACAGGUGGUGCAUGGUUGUCGUCAGCUCGUGUCGUGAGAUGUUGGGUUAAGUCCCGCAACGAGCGCAACCCUUAAGCUUAGUUGCCAUCAUUAAGUUGGGCACUCUAGGUUGACUGCCGGUGACAAACCGGAGGAAGGUGGGGAUGACGUCAAAUCAUCAUGCCCCUUAUGAUUUGGGCUACACACGUGCUACAAUGGAUAAUACAAAGGGCAGCGAAUCCGCGAGGCCAAGCAAAUCCCAUAAAAUUAUUCUCAGUUCGGAUUGUAGUCUGCAACUCGACUACAUGAAGCUGGAAUCGCUAGUAAUCGUAGAUCAGCAUGCUACGGUGAAUACGUUCCCGGGUCUGUACACACCGA
rnacentral:rRNA from 1 species